rnacentral:piRNA from 1 species
GGGUCUUGGACAAACUGAAAGCUGA